ACUGGGCACCAGUUAUUUCGAGCAGAACGAGCUGGGCUAGUGGGCACUCACCCAGGACAGGGCACCAGUUAUAGGUUAUAUAUAUAUAACCUAUAUAUAUGUAUAGUUAUAUAUAUAACAGGGCACUCAAUAACAGCAGUAUUGUAUGUUCAAUUGUGAAUGAUUUAUUCAGCCAUAUAACAAUUAAGAGCAUUUUUGAAGAGCUUAUGAUGAAAAAAAUGCUAUUCAUUUCAGAGAAACAGCUAAUAGAGUCUGAAUGCAGAUAGAAGCAAAAUUUAUAAACAACUUUUUGUUUUGUUCUGUUUUCUUUUACAAUGUAACUCACUCAGAAAUAGGUUUUGCAUGGCAGCACAUUUAUAACCUAUAUGAAAUUGCCUUCCCAAUGAUGGAGAACAGAAGAGAGAGGAAGGGAAGGAGAAAAAAAUGGAACUGAGAUUUAAAAAAAAUAAAUUAUUUUAAUUAAUUUGGAAAAUAUUAAAUUUUAGGGAAGAAAUGCAGUGAGAAACUGCAAUAAGUGACUUGUUUUUACUUUAUAAUGGUGCCUAAAAAUUGGCCAUCAAAUCUUUAGCAGGAGAAAGAGUGGUUACCCCUGCGAAAUCAGUGGCAUUCAGGAAUCAGUGACAUUCAAGGAUGUAGCUGUGGACUUUACUCAAGAGGAAUGGAAGAAACUGGAUUCAACUCAGAGGGAUCUAUAUCGAGCUGUGAUGCUAGAAAACUACAGGAACUUGGUUUAUCUGGUUUCCUAUCCAGAGAUCACAUUCCAUAUGGAUCAAGGGGAAGAAUCAUGGAUAUUAGAGAAAGAAGUCUCAAAAGUUAGCUAUCCAGAGACUUGUCCUGAAAGCAAAGAAACAAUAUCAAAACAUGACAUCUCAAAUGAAGAAUUCUUCCUGGAAAGAUUUAUAGUGGAUGAUCCUAAGAAUUCCCAAGGACAAGACUGGGAAUGUAAUGUCAAGUCAGAGAAACAGCAGAGCAAUCAGGAGAGCCAUUCCGGGCAGAUAGUUGUCCACACAAAAACUUAUGAUAUGGUAAGAGACCAUGAUUUUAAUAAAUUUCAGGGAAACUUCAGUCUAGGGUCAAUCUUUUCUACCCAAGAAAUAGAUAGAUAGGAAAGAAGUUCCAUAAAUAUGACAAAUAUCAAAUGAUCCUCAAUGAGUAGUCAGACAUUCUGAAACAAAUGCCUUCAGGAAAGACACCUCAAAAUAAUGGCUCUGAAGAAGCCCUCUGUCAAACCUCAAAUUUUAUCCCAUAUAAUAACAUGGAGACUGAGAAAAAACCUUAUAAUUAUAGUGAGUAUGGGAAGGCCUUCAGCCAAAAUACAUACUUUAUUCAACAUCAGAGAAAUCAUACUAGCGAGAAACUCUAUAAAUGUAAUGAAUGUGGUAAAGCCUUCAGUCGAAGUACUUUGCUUAUCCAACAUCAGAAAAGUCAUACUGGAGAGAAACACUCUAAGUGUAAUGAAUGUGGCAAAGACUUUACUCAGAGAACACACAUGGUUCAGCAUCAGAGAAUCCACACUGGUGAGAAACCUUAUGCAUGUAAUGACUGUGGAAAGACCUUCAGGUACAGAUCAAAUCUUACUCAGCAUCAGAGCAUCCAUACUGGAAAGAAACCCUAUAAAUGUAAUGAAUGUGGAAAAUUUUUCAGCGAGAGCUCAUCUCUUAUUCAACAUCAGAUCAUUCAUACUGGAGAAAAAACAUAUGAAUACAAUAAAUGUGGGAAAAACCUUUAUUCAUAGCUCAUCUCUUAGUCAACACCAUAGGAUCCACACUGGAGAGAAACCCUUUGAGUGUAAGGAAUGUGGGAAAGCAUUUAGAAGUAACUCAAACUUUAUUAAACAUAAGAGAAUUCAUACAGGAGAGAAACGUUAUAAAUGCAGUGAAUGUGGGAAAGCUUUUAGCCAGAGCACACAUGUUAUUCAACAUCAAAGAAUCCAUUCUCGAAAGAAAUCCUUUGAGUAUAAUGAACAUGGAAUAACUUUCAGUAAUAGUUCAUCUUUCAUUAAAAAUAAAAAAGUUUAUAUUGGAGAGAAACAGUAUAAAUGUAAUGAAUGUGGAAAAGUCUUCAGUUAGUUGACACAUGCUAUUCAGCAUCAAAGAAUCCACACUGGAGAGAAACCCUUUGAAUGUAGUGAUUGUGGGAAACCCUUCAGUAAUAGCUCAUCCUUUAUUAAACAUCAAAGAAUUCAUACUGGAGAGAAACGAUAUAAGUGUAAUGAAUGUGGAAAAGCUUUUACCCAAAGCACACAUGAUAUUCGACAUCAAAGAAUCCAUACUAGAAAUAAAUCCUUUGAGUGCAAUGAAUGUGGCAAAGCCUUUAGUCAGAGAACGCAUCUUAUUCAGCGUCAGCGAAUCCACACUGGGGAGAGACCCUUUGAAUGUAAUGAAUGUAGAAAAACCUUUAGGCAUCGUUCAUCCCUUACUCAGCAUCAGAGAAUCCACACUGGAGAAAAACCCUAUGAAUGUAAUACAUGUAUAAAAGCCUUCAGAACCAGAUCAUCACUUACUAACCAUCAAAGAAUUCAUGAAGAGAAGCUAUAUGAAUGAAAUGGAUGUGAGAAAGCCUUCAAAAAAACUUCUCUUUUAUGAACAUGAAAGAAAAUCAAAAUUAAAUCCUAUAAAUGUUGGCCAUGUUGUUUACUUAUGAUAUAUUUUUAAAAGGUAUUUAAUGAGCCAUGAUUUCAUCAAUGUGGAUAUUCCGUUCACUCCCUCAGCACUCUUUUUCAUCUUAGUAAAUUGUUUGUUUCUAGCUUAGUCGUGUUUUAAGUUAUGGAAGAGCAAGUUUCCAUCUAAGACAUUUUUCCUCUACAAAUUAUUGCAUAUUUUUGCCAAUUUUUUUCAUAUAAAUUUCAUUAUUACUUUGUCUAGUCUUAUGAAACAAAUCCUUCUUGUACAUAGAUGUAUUAAAUUUGUAAAUUAAAUUUAUUUGUAAAUAAUUGAUUAAAUAGUGAAAUAUGAAGAGUUUAAUUUGAUAUUUAUUCAACCUACUCAAUGUGCAAAGGAGUUUAUUCUUAAUUGUAAUAUUCUUAAUUGUUAAUUAAGGUACUUUUAUUAUAUCUUAAAAUUUUUGUAUAAUUAUUUUUACAAAGGUUUAUUAUGAGCCUUAGUAAAUUAAUAAACACAUCUCUUAUUUUUGUCA